UGAAGCUGGAAUUGCUAGUAAUCACAGGUCAGCAUACUGUGGUGAAUACGUUCCCGGGCCUUGUACACACCGCCCGUCACACCAUGAGAGUUGAGAAUACCCGAAGCCCAUGUCAAAGUGGUCGAAGGUAGGCUUGAUGAUUGGGGUGAAGUCGUAACAAGGUAGC
rnacentral:rRNA from 1 species